AAGAGGCUCUGGCACAGAUGGUCUCUAGCAAUGAAGAGAGAGAGGGAGAGGAGGAAAAACAGCGAAUAAGUGUUCAGACGUACAGACUGGACAGAGUGUGAGGGGGAGUGAGAAACAGGAAAAGCAACAGCAAACGAGUCAGUGUGAGAAGUGAUUGGAGGGGAGAGAGGGAGGGUGAAAGUGGAGAGAGGAGGUACACAAACUCCCCAAGAACAGGAGUUCACAUGAGAGAAAGUGACCACACGCUGCAGAAGGAACAGUUGCUGAUCUGCUGAAAGAAUCAAAUUACGAACAUCCAGUGCUGCUCCUUCAGUCUUGUCUGGUGCAGGAUAACUAGAUGAAGACCCUGAAACCAGCAGACACCACAAACAACCGUAAGAAAAACUAGAAGAGGGGGAGGGUGAAAACCAGGAGGUGCACAGGUCUGUAAAACAUCCGGCGUUGUUUUAUGUAGAACAGGGUUCAGUUCCUCUUUUAGAAAACAGUUCACAAGUGGAAACACUCACAAAGUGGAGCUGCACACACUCUCUCCAGAGAGGUCACUGUGCUCCCAGCCUGUCUUGGUGUCUAUGUUCUGCUACUUAUGAACAUGUGGGAGGAGCGCAGAGGAAGGACAAAGAAGAGACUGCAGAGUAAACACAGCCAGCAGCAGAGGUGCUCCAGACCAACGCUGGCAGGUGGUUCAGAUUUUUACAGUCAGCUGGACAUACGUCUAGAAAACCAAACAAGAAUGUAUAUUGACAUGUACUCCUAUACAUCUAUAUUCAUGUACCUUUGAGGAAAUGAAAGUAGUUUGAUCUCUCCUGUAAGAGUUGAGACGGAUGUUUCAUCUCUCAAAACACUGUGCGACUGCAUGCCAACCACAAAAAAACCCUCUUCUGUAAGUGUAAGGUGGCAAACCUGUGACUGCUAUUACAAAUACACUUGCUACAACCCCAAAUCAGAAAAAGUAUGUAAAAUCAAUUUUAAAAGAGAAAGUAGUGAUGUAGUGUAUAUAUCUAGGACUGAUAAUGAGCAUGAUGCUCCAAAAAUGGCACAUUCACCCAAACGUCAACAUAGAAUGACGCCAACUUUGACUUCUCUAUAUAUGAAACACUAGGCUCGUGUUAACCAUAUUUGUUCCCAUGCUUUUUAUUACCACGCCUAGGUGCACUGAUCUGAGAUGACUGAUUGUCUUCAAGCACUCUGUUCUGUUGCUAUUUCACAGCCCUUAUCUCCUGUACAGCCUGUCUAGUAUCAGCCUGUGGGAUCUCACCCACACGUAGCUGCUCCAGUGAUGAUGACAGACCUCAGCCUUGAAAUGCCAGGCCUGAAAUAGUUUGCCUCAUUUAUAAUUAAACUGAACAUGUAGGAAGGUGCCUCCUGUGUGUGAAUACAAACGGACCCGGACUGGAGCAGUGAAUCAUUCGCAGUCUGUCUUCAAUUACACAUAACGUGCACACAUGGUUCAUCUACACACACCAGAAAUUCAUCAGUGGACUAAUUGGGGGUGCUGAUAUAUAAUGAGUGAGUACUCACAAAGUACAUAGAGUAUUUAUGGAUAAAGGAUAUAUAUACUUACCAGGCUUGAGGAGUAAUUGCAGGGUGGAAGUAUAAACUUACAGUAGUGAAGGGUGGAGCUGUGGGUAAAAAUAACUACUACAUUCAGAGCAGAUUUACAUGAGAUGGUGAAACUCUCUUGUCUUUUUCUGGUGUACUGGUGUAAGGUCCACGGAGGCCUGCUUUCUUACACAGUGCAGAUCUGCUCGUGUGAUCUGCAUCUGAGAAUCAGCAUGACAGUGAGUGAGGAGCUGCUGGAUAUUCUUCAGAAGAUUGGGACCAAACUGUUGGAUCUCCCAAAGGCCAAUCCACUGGAGCUGGGAGCCUUCUCUGUGCUCCUUUUGUUUGUUGCCACAUUUCUCUUUUUGAUCGUGCUGUCCUGUGUCCACUGCUGCUGCUGUGAAAACCCAAAACACCAGGUAUCCAGAGUUCAGCCUCUAUAAACCAACUGAGGAGAAGACAAAGAACAGAUCUUUACAAACGGUUGCCCAGAAGGAAAAUGUUUCUAUUCAGAGUCACUGAUUUUUUUUUUUUGGAGCUAAUGAAAGGCAAGUCAUAAAAGGAAGGAUGGUGACACAUUUCCAGUUCUGGGAUAAAGACUGGAUCCACAUCCAGAAAGCCAUGCUACUGGAAUCUGGAUAAAUCAGCAGAGUGGGACAACCCAUAAAGAUUCAUUACAGAGCAAGACAAUAAAACACUGGUAUCUCCGUUCAAAACACAAUGACUCUUCUAUUGAAAAUUUUGUAGUUUGGUAUCCAGUUAUUCCAACUUGUGUAUGUUCAACAGAAACUUGGUGGUGUAAAAAUAACACAGAGCGCCCUCUGCUGGUUCAGUGGAGAGAUUUGUAAUGGAAAAAGUGAGCAGUUUGUAGUUUGUACCACAGUUACAAAUGUAGUCUCAUUAUUUUAUAACAACAAAAAAGUGUUGUACUUUUUUUACUGAGGCAGUGUUCCAUUUGUGGAUGUAACUGAAGCUGCAAAGGGAAGAUGUGAUUGUUCUUACAUAUGUAAAUGUAAUAAAUGUCCCAUAUGUUUUA